rnacentral:rRNA from 1 species
AUUGAACGCUGGCGGCAGGCCUAACACAUGCAAGUCGAACGAGUGGCGGACGGGUGAGUAAUGUCUGGGAAACUGCCUGAUGGAGGGGGAUAACUACUGGAAACGGUAGCUAAUACCGCAUACCAUCAGAUGUGCCCAGAUGGGAUUAGCUAGUAGGUGGGGUAACGGCUCACCUAGGCGACGAUCCCUAGCUGGUCUGAGAGGAUGACCAGCCACACGGGAACUGAGACACGGUCCAGACUCCUACGGGAGGCAGCAGUGGGGAAUAUUGCACAAUGGGCGCAAGCCUGAUGCAGACAUGCCGCGUGUAUGAAGAAGGCCUUCGGGUUGUAAAGCACUUUCAGCGGGGAGGCGUUACUCGCAGAAGAAGCACCGGCUAACUCCGUGCCAGCAGCCGCGGUAAUUC